AGGAGCUUCGCCAAGUGGUAAGGCAGCGGCCUUUGACGCCGAUAUCGUUGGUUCGACCCCAGCAGCUCCUGCCA
rnacentral:tRNA from 1 species